UCCUCAGACAUAAUUACAAAUUCUGGAAUUUAAAGCUGAGGCUCAACAAAAUAAUUCAGGUGAUUACUUUUAUCACAGUCCAUCCUCUGUGCUGUUUUGCAGGCCAAAGAUAAAAGGAUUCGAUACUUUGGAGGAACUUUGCCUCACAUGGUUGUAAAAUCAGCAGAGGUGCUGGAAACACCUCAUUUUGUGUGGAGAGGUUCAGUCCUAUACCUGAUGGGGAGGAGAAAGCAUUGACUAGACAUUUUUCCAGUCCUUGAAGCAGUUUUCUUUGAGAGAAUGACAUUUUUCAUGCCAGACAAUUGGCAUCAGCUGUCAAGUUGGGUCAUCAAGUUGGGUGAACUGGACAAGACAGAGAUGGAGACAUGCAAUGCUGUAUGGUGUCAUCAGAACUAAAGAUUAUGAAAUUCUUCUGCACAGAUUUCACCCCUGAAGUGAACAGAACACACCAGGGAUUUCCCAUGGUGAUGAGAGUCCCUGUUCCAGCUCAACUGAUUCAACUGGCUAUGUUGCCUUUUAUCCAGGUUCCUGUUUUCAUCAUAUGGCAGGAGAUGCAGAAAGCACUAGGAAACCUACACCACCAGAGGGCAGCAUCCACAGUAGAACGUGGGAGGUGGUGCUUAUCACCUGCCAGGGAAAAUGUUGCCUUCCUAGGAGGGUAAAUUAUGUCAACCAAAAUACAGCCUGAUUUUAGAUCUCCGAUACCAUUCCCUUUGAAAU
rnacentral:lncRNA from 1 species